GAUGAACGCUGGCGGCGUGCUUAACACAUGCAAGUCGAACGGUGAACGAGGGAGCUUGCUCCCUCCGGAUCAGUGGCGAACGGGUGAGUAACACGUGAGCAAUCUGCCCUGGACUCUGGGAUAAGCGUUGGAAACGACGUCUAAUACCGGAUACGAGGCGUGGGGGCAUCCCCAACGCCUGGAAAGAACUUCGGUCCAGGAUGAGCUCGCGGCCUAUCAGCUAGUUGGUGAGGUAACGGCUCACCAAGGCGACGACGGGUAGCCGGCCUGAGAGGGUGACCGGCCACACUGGGACUGAGACACGGCCCAGACUCCUACGGGAGGCAGCAGUGGGGAAUAUUGCACAAUGGGCGCAAGCCUGAUGCAGCAACGCCGCGUGAGGGACGACGGCCUUCGGGUUGUAAACCUCUUUUAGCAGGGAAGAAGCGAAAGUGACGGUACCUGCAGAAAAAGCACCGGCUAACUCUGUGCCAGCCGCCGCUGUAAAAC
rnacentral:rRNA from 1 species